AUUUCCUCUCAGACUAUGUUGGGGGGGUGCAAGGAUAGAUGAUUCGUUUUAGGUGUUAAGCGUCAUCCAACAUGGGGCAUCGGUCAGAAUGCCAGGUAGAGGAAUGAUGAGGAGACGAUGGGCUUGGUUAUCGAAUUGUAUUCUUAGAGGUAAUUCAAACAGGUAGCAUUAAUAUUCACAUUCUCAGGAAAGCGAGAUGAGUUGACAUUUCUCACAGUCUGAGAGGGUAGAGGAAACAAGAAAUAGAAAUAAGGCACCAUAAAAUACAAAUAACAAUCUGUAAUUACGUUAACAGUUAAGUGCCUGUAAUGCACUACAAACAUAAGUCGCUGGCGAUUUCUAGUAGUAAACACAGCCUAGUCACGGAGCAGACAUUAUACAGUCUCAUCUAGAGGUCAAAGGAGGUAACGCAAAUGUGACAUUCAUCUCCCGAGGACAGAAUUUCCCCGAAAUAUUCUCAAAUGGUAUCGAGGCAGGUAGUGCUAAGCGCUAAUAAUAGGCAACUUAGAAACAUAUGGAUUUACAGACAAGUAAACGAAACGGAGAUGUGAGGAAAUGCCACCACCAUUACUUAAGAACUAAAGGGAACUUCGCUUGAAGAAGCUGAGACUGUGCAGAUAACGGUGGCUGAUGAAGUGGCUGAUGAAGUCAUCAACAGUACCAUGAGCAUCUGUCUGGAGGGGUCUGAAGAGAAACCUCUGGUGAGCUCCAACCCUGACACAGGUAAAGUCAUCAGAGAGCUCCUGGACAUCCUAUUUGAUGAUGCCCUGUCAGCGAGUCUCUAGCUUCUGGGUGAGUAAAAGAAAUAAACAUAUUACAAUGAUAAUGAAAGAGCUGGGAAACUGACCGUAUUCAUUUAUAUUAAGGCAGAAAAUGAGCUUAUGGACACCAACCUGGGUAAGUAAAGGAAAUCACCAGAGAGUGAGAUGAUAACACAUUUAGUGAGUAUAAAAGCUUUAAUCUAAAUUCCUUCAAGAUCAUCUAGUGAGCUCCAACAAAGAUGCAGCUGAUGCCAUCAGAGAGCUCCUGGAGAUCAUGCUUCAUGAUGUUUUGUCAGCGAGUUUCCAGCCUCUGGGUGAGUGGAAGACACAAAAUAACAUAUUUGAAAUAUUGAAAAAUGACAAACUGGAAAACCAACUAAUGAAAGCAGAAAAUGAGACACUGAUGAAUGAUGGAUGAUGAAGCUCAGUCAGAAGCUAUUGAUGAGCUGAUUUUACCAUUAAUCUGCCUUAAUUAAUACAAAUUCUGCUCGCUGUAUUGUAAAAGAAGACGAUCAGGUGCUGAAGAUGACAGUGAAGCCAAUGACGAGCAAACGCACCCUGACCUGGAGAAGUCAGAGCCCACCAAUAUCCAUCCUUUGGCAGGAGAUGAGUGGCCGAAGCUGAAGGACCAUGUAGCUGAGGAACAUCUGGACCUCACAGAGGCUUCAGACAGUGAUGACCAGCCUCUGGACAUAAAGAAAAGCCACCCUCCUGAGGAAGAAGACACCAACAAGAGAAAAACUAGGAGAGGAACAAGAGGAAAAGGGCGGAAAAUCAUCUAUAAUAAAGAAAAACAUCCAAAUGACAAACUAGAUGGACAGAGAGGUUCAAGAGGUUCUUCUGGACAGACAAACAACGUAAAGAACUGCGGUCAUGAAAACAGGGAGAUGGUCCGUCCCAAACGGGUGCAGUUAGAGUGAGAUGGUGAAUCUGAUGAUGUCCUACAUACGUUCACAGUCUGGAAGACAGGAUGGACUGAGAGAACAGCAACAGAAGGACUCCACUGGUGGCAGGACUACAUAAAGAACCGUGGUGUUGAUCACAGUUGGGCGCAGGAAGAGAUGGGUGACGGAUAUGAUGCAGUGCAGUUCAACCUCACAUACUGGAGGACAGGAUUUUUUCUGAAUGGCACAAAUGAACAUCUAAGACCGGGGAGAUGGACAGAGAGAGAGAGAGACAAAGAACCAGAGAGAGACAGAGAACCCAAGAGAGACAGAGAACCUGAAGAAAAAAUUAUGC